UACGUAGGGUGCGAGCGUUGUCCGGAAUUAUUGGGCGUAAAGAGCUUGUAGGCGGUUUGUCGCGUCUGCCGUGAAAAUUCGAGGCUCAACCUCGAACUUGCGGUGGGUACGGGCAGACUAGAGUGUGGUAGGGGAGACUGGAAUUCCUGGUGUAGCGGUGAAAUGCGCAGAUAUCAGGAAGAACACCCGUGGCUAAGGCGGUUCUCUAGUACGGUACUGACGCUGAGACGCGAAAGCGUGGGGAGCAAACAGG
rnacentral:rRNA from 1 species